ACGCGCCGCUGCCACCGAUAGAGGAGGCGCUCCUCCCUCAUUUUUCGUGCCAAACAUCUUUUUUCCUCUUUCUUCACCAAAAUUGGCCACUUGGUGCAAAUCUAAUGGUUCUGAAAUUCUAUAAAUUGCCCUCCCCCUUCCCUUCCUCCCCACAGUUCUAUUUCUUUCAUUUUUCACAGGUUUAAAGACAGAGAGAUAAUAA
rnacentral:lncRNA from 1 species